AUGCCUUAAACUUAUGAGUAAGGAAAAUAACGACUUGGGGUGGGGCUGGAAUGCUCACUGCUAACGUGAGACAAAUUUUUGUGCUGGUAAAGUUUGGCCCUCAGGGGACCCACCUACUUUGUGGGAUGCCUGUCUUCCUUAGUUAAAAAAAAAAUUACUAU
rnacentral:snRNA from 1 species